CGUCUUACCCUUCAGGCACAAAAAUGGCGCCUCAGUCAGGCGCAUGCGCACUUGUGGAGCCCCCGAGAGCGCCUCUCAGGCAGAGAAGCUUGCGCGCCUCGAAGCCAGACCUGAAAAGGAGCGCCUCCUCGGAACGCGGCGACACACCACUUCCCGUCCGUCUGGUUUAAGGAGCCCUCACUUUGUGGAUCUCUGCAAGCAACUGGGCUCGUGGCUGCAGAAGGUUUGCUGGAAUCCAAAGAGUCCAGGACCCUUGACUGCGGAGGACGGAGGCUGCCGAGUGCGUCUGCCCUAGAACCCCGCACUCCUUUCGCGUUCGGCGUGUGGGGAGGUGUAUACCGCCUUAGAAAUAGCCUGAUCAUCUCCACCGAGGGCCACCUGCCGGGAUGUCCAAAAGGCUCCGCUCCCAGUUAGAGCAAGACACCCCAGGAGGUGUCCAUUGUGAGACACGCCCGCAGCCAUCGCAGCUGUUCCGCAGUGGUGACCAAAUGGCGGUUUGUGGCCGCAGCUUCCCGCCCCAGGAGCGUGGGAGUCCCGUGGUGGUGAAUGAAGUGCCAGAGGCGGCCGAGAAGUACAGGAAGUUAUUCCAGGAGAUGUUGGACACAUUGAAGGAGAAACUUGAAGCAGCUAAAAUCAUACUGGCUGAUGAACAAGAAAGAAUGGUGAUGAUGCAGAAAGAGGAACAGAAUUUUAAAGAAAUGAUUGAGUCUGAAUAUAGCGUAAGGAUCCGGCUGAUGACUGAAGAAAAUGAGAUGAACUUGCGAAGCCUGCAAGGUGGAUUCAACCUGAAUUUGAGACAAACCAGUCAGAACCAGCUGAUGGAGUUUGCCAUGAACCUAAAGGAGAAGUUCCAGGAAACACUACAGAGACUGAACUUUCUGGGGAGAGAGAACAUGAAGAAACUGAAGGAGAGUGAAGUCAGGCUUUCUGAACAGAUCUGCAGCCUCCAGCAGAUCACCGCGGAGCUCGAGAGGAAGUGUAGGCAGCCCGCCUCAGUGUUGCUCCAGAAUGCAAAAUAUGCUUUGGAAAGGAGUGAGUCACUACUAUAUCAGUUUCUACAGCCCGCCCAAAUCACAGACCUGAGUUUGUGCCAAGUAACAGGAAUGAGCAAAAUGCUCAAAGUGCUGCAAAGACCUAUAACUUUGGACCCUAAAACAGCUCAUCCCUAUCUGGUCUUGUCCGAGGAUCUAAGAAGUGUGAGACUUAGAAACGUGCAACGGGGUGUACCCGGUCACCCUGAGAGAUUUGAUUUCAGCGCCACCGUGCUGGGUGCGCAGAGCUUCACCUCAGGGCAGCACUACUGGGAGGUGGACGUGGGCAAGGCGACGCAGUGGCAGCUGGGCGUGUACAGGAGCUCCGCCGUGAGAAACAGCUCUGGAAAUAAGGUCUUGCUCACAGGAUCUCUCAUGGGAACCGAUCACACCUUCUGGGCUUUUCCCCCUUUCAAAAGGGUCUGCUUGAGAGAGCAAGUGCACAGAGUUGGAGUUUUCCUGGACUAUGAGUAUGAGCAGAUAUCGUUCUAUGAUGCCGUAAAGAGCUCCCUCAUCUAUAAUUUCUCUUAUCUCGCCUUCCAGGGAGCUCUCAGGCCUAUAUUUUCUCUCAGUAUCUCCAGUGGAGGCGUGAAUUCAGACUCUUUGAGUAUCUGCCUCCCUCACGUUUCUCCUUGUAAUGAUACUGUUAGCUCUCAGCCCUCUUCGGUGUGAAAUCUAAUAACCACGAGAGCCCAGAAUGUUACAAGCAUGACUUUGUAUAAAUAAUUUUACAAAAUAAGCCAGUAGAAGAUUUUUAGCACUUGAGUUGGAGCCCAGUUGAGCACCCCAGAGCUUUUGCAUUCAUGCAGCCCAUAGCCUCGCAUAGAGUCGGACAUGACUAAAGCAGCUUAGUGUGAGGGCACAGCACGGCUUUUGAUACCCUUUUCACUGAAGUGGUUGGAUUUAAGCUGAAUCGUGAAUGAUAAUAACUAAAGGACCCCAUGCUAAUUAGAACAGCAAGUGCCUAUGUAGUAUAAGAUUGGGAAAUUAGAGAAGAAAAUAGUCUGGGAUCCUUAAGACUGGGUUAAGGACUCUUGAGAUUUCAGAAAACAGAAUUGGGUAUAAUCAAGACUUUAGAUUUGAGAAUGUCAUCAAAGUGACAUGUGGAAUGGAGACAUCCUAUUCCUGAUGUUGCCAAGAGUUCUAUCAUCAUUCCACAUGGAGGACAACUUAAUUUCCCCAGAUACCUUAUCUUGGUGGGGAGGAUGUGUUUCAGAAAAUUUUACCUGAUGCUGUAGCUGUGGAGUUUGCAGAAAACAGUUCCUAAUGCAGAAUGCAAAGAAUAUGUAGCCUGGAAGAAUCUUACUGGAUUUGAAUGUGCUGUUUUCAUUCUUAAAGAGUGUUAAUACAGAAAAUUUGGGUUGACUACAUCAAUUUCUACCACCUGGAGGUAAACCAGUGUUGUUAAUAUUUUAAUGUAUUUCCUUUCAAUUUAUUCCUUUAUGAAUGUAUACAUAUUUUUAAUCUUAAAAAUAAAUUAGAAAGAAAAAAAUCAAUUAGGAUUAAGAUAUUUAGUAUUUUAUGUCCUGCUGAUUUCAUAUUAUAACGUCUAAAUAUCUUCCUGUGUCAAUACAACUCUCAAUCAUUUUAAUGACUGUAUAGCUCCAUUCUCUCAGUUUACCAUAAAUGAAUUACCC